AGGAUGAACGCUGGCGGCGUGCUUAACACAUGCAAGUCGAACGAUGAAGCCGGAGCUUGCUCUGGUGGAUUAGUGGCGAACGGGUGAGUAACACGUGAGUAACCUGCCCUUGACUCUGGGAUAAGCACUGGAAACGGUGUCUAAUACCGGAUACGAGCUUUAGCCGCAUGGCUAGGAGCUGGAAAGAAUUUCGGUCAAGGAUGGACUCGCGGCCUAUCAGGUAGUUGGUGAGGUAACGGCCCACCAAGCCUACGACGGGUAGCCGGCCUGAGAGGGUGACCGGCCACGACUGGGAACUGAGACACGGCCCAGACUCCUACGGGAGCAGCAGUGGGAAUAGUUGCACAAUGGGCGCAAGCCUGAUGCAGCAACGCGCGUGUGGGACGACGGCCUUCGGUUGUAACCUCUUUAGAGGUAAGAAGCGAAAGUGACGGUACCUAGACAGAAAAAGCGACCGGCUAACUACGUCGCCAGACAGCCGACGGUAAUCGUGACGCGG
rnacentral:rRNA from 1 species